GAACGAGGAUAUACCCUUCGGGGUAUAAGCCGAGUGGCGCAAGGGUGAGUAAUGCAUAGAUUACCUGCCUUCGGGAUAAGGACAACUUUGUGAAAACGAAGCUAAUACUUAAUAAUACAAAAGAAAAUAAUUUUCAUUUGUCAAUGGGAGGGUAGCAAUACCUUUUGCCUGGAGAGGGGUUUAUGUCCUAUCAGCUUGUUGGUGGGGUAAUGGCCUACCAAGGCGAAGACGGGUAGCCGGUCUUAGAGGAUGGUCGGCCACACUGGGACUGAGACACUGCCCAGACUUCUACGGAAGGCUGCAGUCGAGAAUCUUUCGCAAUGCCCGAAAGGGUGACGAAGCGACGCCGCGUGAGUGAGGAAGGCCUUCGGGUUGUAAAGCUCUGUCAGGAGUUAAGAAAUAUAAGUGUGCUAAUACCACAUUUAUUUGACAAAGGCUCCAAAGGAAGCCACGGCUAACUCUGUGCCAGCAGCCGCGGUAAUACAGAGGUGGCAAGCGUUGUUCGGAAUUAUUGGGCGUAAAGAGCACGUAGGUGGGUCUGUAAGUCAGAUGUGAAAGCCUUCUGUUCAACGGAAGAAUUGCAUCUGAAACUGCGAGUCUUGAGUGUAGGAGGGGAGAAUGGAACUUCUGGUGGAGCGGUGAAAUGCGUAGAUAUCAGAAGGAACGCCGGCGGCGAAAGCGAUUCUCUGGCCUAUUACUGACACUUAGUGUGCGAAAGCUAGGGGAGCAAACGGGAUUAGAUACCCCGGUAGUCCUAGCUGUAAACGA
rnacentral:rRNA from 1 species